rnacentral:rRNA from 1 species
UGCUACAGGCUUAACACAUGCAAGUCGAGGGGCAGCAUGGUCUUAGCUUGCUAAGGCCGAUGGCGACCGGCGCACGGGUGAGUAACACAUAUCCAACCUGCCGUCUACUCUUGGACAGCCUUCUGAAAGGAAGAUUAAUACAAGAUGGCAUCAUGAGUCCGCAUGUUCACAUGAUUAAAGGUAUUCCGGUAGACGAUGGGGAUGCGUUCCAUUAGAUAGUAGGCGGGGUAACGGCCCACCUAGUCUUCGAUGGAUAGGGGUUCUGAGAGGAAGGUCCCCCACAUUGGAACUGAGACACGGUCCAAACUCCUACGGGAGGCAGCAGUGAGGAAUAUUGGUCAAUGGGCGAGAGCCUGAACCAGCCAAGUAGCGUGAAGGAUGACUGCCCUAUGGGUUGUAAACUUCUUUUAUAAAGGAAUAAAGUCGGGUAUGGAUACCCGUUUGCAUGUACUUUAUGAAUAAGGAUCGGCUAACUCCGUGCCAGCAGCCGCGGUAAUACGGAGGAUCCGAGCGUUAUCCGGAUUUAUUGGGUUUAAAGGGAGCGUAGAUGGAUGUUUAAGUCAGUUGUGAAAGUUUGCGGCUCAACCGUAAAAUUGCAGUUGAUACUGGAUAUCUUGAGUGCAGUUGAGGCAGGCGGAAUUCGUGGUGUAGCGGUGAAAUGCUUAGAUAUCACGAAGAACUCCGAUUGCGAAGGCAGCCUGCUAAGCUGCAACUGACAUUGAGGCUCGAAAGUGUGGGUAUCAAACAGGAUUAGAUACCCUGGUAGUCCACACGGUAAACGAUGAAUACUCGCUGUUUGCGAUAUACUGCAAGCGGCCAAGCGAAAGCGUUAAGUAUUCCACCUGGGGAGUACGCCGGCAACGGUGAAACUCAAAGGAAUUGACGGGGGCCCGCACAAGCGGAGGAACAUGUGGUUUAAUUCGAUGAUACGCGAGGAACCUUACCCGGGCUUAAAUUGCAGAUGAAUUACGGUGAAAGCCGUAAGCCGCAAGGCAUCUGUGAAGGUGCUGCAUGGUUGUCGUCAGCUCGUGCCGUGAGGUGUCGGCUUAAGUGCCAUAACGAGCGCAACCCUUGUUGUCAGUUACUAACAGGUUCCGCUGAGGACUCUGACAAGACUGCCAUCGUAAGAUGUGAGGAAGGUGGGGAUGACGUCAAAUCAGCACGGCCCUUACGUCCGGGGCUACACACGUGUUACAAUGGGGGGUACAGAGGGCCGCUACCACGCGAGUGGAUGCCAAUCCCCAAAACCUCUCUCAGUUCGGACUGGAGUCUGCAACCCGACUCCACGAAGCUGGAUUCGCUAGUAAUCGCGCAUCAGCCACGGCGCGGUGAAUACGUUCCCGGGCCUUGUACACACCGCCCGUCAAGCCAUGGGAGCCGGGGGUACCUGAAGUGCGUAACCGCGAGGAGCGCCCUAGGGUAAAACUGGUGACUGGGGCUA